GUUGCUGGAAAAAUAUAUAUAGCUAUCAUUCAUGAUAGCCAUCGAUAGCCCUAUCCUCUACGGAUAUCUCUAAUCCAUUUUUAAGCCAUCCCUGGCUUAAAAGGAAGCCUUAAAUAGACUGUGACAACAGGGUCGGGCUCUGGGGGUUAGUAGUGGACCCCCUACUUGGGUGGUGACCUCAUCAGAUGCCCAGCAAAUACCCAUCCUGAUGCUGGCUUUUCCUCCAGCUCUCAACUUGUUUCAGUCCACGUUUGGUUCUCACCUUGUCUUCAAGUUCCUGGCUCUCCCAUCUCACCAGAAGAUGCCACAGUUAGAGGCAGGGCUUUUUUUUCAGCCGGAACUCUCUGGAACUCAGUUCCGGCACAUCUAAGGUGGGCUCCAUUGCCAUUCUGAGAGAACAAGGGAGUUGCUCGCGGCAACCUGAAGCAAGAGGACUCCCAACAGUUUGUUGUCCUGCGUGUGCUAUAAAACUUCCUGUUAAGGACAGUCUGCCACCUCUCCAGCUCAUUGCUUCCAUUGCAGAACUGCUCGCAGAUU